GAUUUAAUAUCAUGUUUUGUCAUAUUUUACAACACCUGCAAACGAUGUUGGUAUGAUUCGUCAGUUAUGAUGUUGUCGCCCAAUAAGGCGAUGUCUUCUAUUCCUAAUUCUUACAUAUGCCUUAAUGUAAUGCCUUGGUUGUCGUCCGUAGUUUCGACGUCAUCCAUUCCUAUUCCUAUUUCUUGUAUAUUUCCAAGUCACAUGGACUGCUGAGAAUAUUUUUUUGGUUUGAUGUAAAGUGUGGUUCAACCGAUAUCUUUUUAUCCUACUUUUAACAUAAUAGCUGUGUUUUUUUUUUUUCAAGUAACGUGCUUUGUAGCUGUUUUUUUUUUUAAUGAAUAUUUUUUCGGUUUGAUGUAAAGUGUUUUUGAAGCCUAAGUGGGGAUUCCUUAUCAUGUUUUGUCAUAUUUUACAACACCUGCAAAUGAUGUUGGUAUGAUUCGUCAGUCGUGAUGUUGUCGCCCGAUAAAGCGAUGUCUUCUAUUCCUAAUUCUUACAUAUAACCCUAAUGUAAUGCCGUAGUUGUCGUCCGUAGUUUCGACGUCUUCCAUUCCUAUUCCUAUUUCUAGUAUAUUUCCAAGUCACGUGGACUGCUGAGAAUAUUUUUUUGGUUUGAUGUAAAGUGUGGUUCAAGCGAUAUCUUUUUAUCCUACUUUUAACAUAAUAGCUAUGAAGCCUAAGUGGGGAUUCCUUAUCAUGUUUUGUCAUAUUUUACAACACCUGCAAACGAUGUUGGUAUGAUUCGUCAGUUAUGAUAUUGUCGCCCGAUAAAGCGAUGUCUUCUAUUCCUAAUUCUUACAUAUUACCUUAAUGAAAUGCCGUAGUUGUCGUCCGUAGUUUCGACGUCUUCCAUUCCUAUUCCUAUUUCUAGUAUAUUUCCAAGUCACGUGGACUGCUGAGAAGUGUGGUUCAAGCGAUAUAUUUUUAUCCUACUUUUAACAUAAUAGCUGUGAAGCCUAAGUGGGGAUUUGAUAACAUGUUUUGUCAUAUUUUACAACACCUGCAAACGAUGUUGGUAUGAUUCGUCAGUCGUGAUGUUGUCGCCCGAUAAAGCGAUGUCUUCUAUUCCUAAUUCUUACAUAUGCCUUAAUGUAAUGCCUUGGUUGUCGUCCGUAGUUUCGACGUCUUCCAUUCCUAUUCCUAUUUCUAGUAUAUUUCCAAGUCACGUGGACUGCUGAGAAUAUUUAUUUUGGUUUGAUGUAAAGUGUGGUUCAAGCGAUAUCUUUUUAUCCUACUUUUAACAUAAUAGCUAUGAAGCCUAAGUGGGGAUUCCUUAUCAUGUUUUGUCAUAUUUUACAACACCUGCAAACGAUGUUGGUAUGAUUCGUCAGUUAUGAUAUUGUCGCCCGAUAAAGCGAUGUCUUCUAUUCCUAAUUCUUACAUAUUACCUUAAUGUAAUGCCGUAGUUGUCGUCCGUAGUUUCGACGUCUUCCAUUCCUAUUCCUAUUUCUAGUAUAUUUCCAAGUCACGUGGACUGCUGAGAAUAUUUUUUUGGUUUGAUGUAAAGUGUGGUUCAAGCGAUAUCUUUUUAUCCUACUUUUAACAUAAUAGCUGUGUUUUUUUUUCAAGUAACGUGCUUUGUAGCUGUUUUUUUUUUUUAAUGAAUAUUUUUUCGGUUUGAUGUAAAGUGUUUUUGAAGCCUAAGUGGGGAUUCUUUAUCAUGUUUUGUCAUAUUUUACAACACCUGCAAACGAUGUUGGUAUGAUUCGUCAGUCGUGAUGUUGUCGCCCGAUAAAGCGAUGUCUUCUAUUCCUAAUUCUUACAUAUAACCCUAAUGUAAUGCCGUAGUUGUCGUCCGUAGUUUCGACGUCUUCCAUUCCUAUUCCUAUUUCUAGUAUAUUUCCAAGUCACGUGGACUGCUGAGAAUAUUUUUUUGGUUUGAUGUAAAGUGUGGUUCAAGCGAUAUCUUUUUAUCCUACUUUUAACAUAAUAGCUAUGAAGCCUAUGUGGGGAUUCCUUAUCAUGUUUUUGUCAUAUUUUACAACACCUGCAAACGAUGUUGGUAUGAUUCGUCAGUUAUGAUAUUGUCGCCCGAUAAAGCGAUGUCUUCUAUUCCUAAUUCUUACAUAUUACCUUAAUCUAAUUAAGUGUGAUAUAUUAUUAAUCGGGCAAUGAGCGUCUGAUAAGGAGAUUUUGGGCUAGUAGAAUUUUCCUGCUGCAAGUUUGGUAUCAGUUUCAGGAUUCGUUGAAACAGCGGUGAACGGUGCUUCCUACUCUAUAUAGAUAUUUCUCUGGUCAUUUUCCUUACCUGCAUCAUAUAUCUAUUUUAUUCGAGAAUUGCGUAGGUCUUUGUAUCGUAUUGAAAGAGUCGUAGCAGCGUGCAUUCUCUUCAUCAAGAAUGACAACGGAAUCUGAUACUGAUCAGUGAAGGUCUGUGGGUUUAGGAUAUAGGAAAUGUGGAGACUCCUGAAGUUGGCUUAUUUCGUUGUGUACUCUUGACCCAUGGAAAAUGGUUAAUCAGGUUAUGUAGCCUUUUCAAUUGUAUUUAGAUAUUACUGGAACAUUUUCUAAAAAUAAGUAUGAGAGAAUAAGUGUACGCCGCUAGUGUGUGGCAUGGCUAAUUAGAAAGAGAGAUAUAUCUUUGUCUGACUUUUAGUGAUGAAUUGAACAGUGCGCUAAAUAAACAUAUUUCUUAUUUACAUAAUUCAUUGCUCAUUAUUCAUUGGUGUCACUGUCAGCUUUAGUCUCUUACGUACGUAUUCUAUAUUGGCAAAAGCCAUCCAAUGGGCUGUAUUCAAAACAGUUAUGGUGCCAAUGAUAACGCAUUGAUCAAUGGGCGUAUAAAGGCGCAUUAGUCGAACAAAGCUCCUGGCCCAGAUGUCAAUGUGAAUAGAGAUAACGCUAUUUCGUGUUUCUCUAAGCCUCAACUGAAUUUAAUUAAUUACGAGCAUUCGUUUUCUAUAAACCUCAAACGAAUUAUUAUUGUUCUUUGAUUCUGACAUUCAUUUCCGAGCCUAUUGAUUAGAACUCAAUUAGCUUUCACGCUUAAAAGCAAAGCUAAAUGUAUAUUGUUUUCUAUUUUUGAUGAAAUUGAUCUCAUUCUUCUAAAGGAUCUAAGAAAUUGCGGGGACAUGAUGAUGUGAUGUCCCCUUUAAUAUAUAUAUGCUAAAUGUUUUGCGAUUAUCUUUUGAAAAUUCUAAGUAGGAUUGGAUAUCAUUAUUUGGAAGGUAAAAUUUUGACCAAAGAAAAGAGAUCAAAAGUAUUCUAUUUCUGCAAGUAUGGUUAUGAUGGAGUUUCUUCAAUUAAGUCGAUCAGGGAGUGGACUGAGCUGAGGAUUAUUGACGAUGAAGAAAUUUGAAUUAUUGUUGAAGGGCUGCAAAAAAUGUGUCUGUGGAUGGAAUUGUAUGACACGAACUUAAAGUGAUUGACUUUGCUGAAUAUAUCAACGAUAUGUAUUGCAAUACCCUUGCGAGAAGGACUGGAGAUCGUUGGAGAGUAAUAUUCUAACAAAAUUGACGGAAAAAAAAUUCAGUUUUCUUUGGAAGAAUAUGCGAUUCACAAUCAGUACUGGUGAAACUGGAUUCUAAGAGUAUGAAAAGUUUUUUCAAUCAAGUAGAUCGCGGUUAGAUCCAAUAUGAUGGGAAUGGAGUCGAGUGAGAGAUAAAGAAAAUUGCGAUUCUGCAAAUAGUAUGUAGAUCAAGUAGAUCGCAGAGGUGUUCAAUAUGAUGAGAAGACUGGACUCGAAAUAUAAAAAAUAUUUUGUUCCCGCUAGUUUGAUGGACGUUCUUCAAUCAAGUAGUUCGCGAAAGUAUUAGAUAUGAUGAGAGGAUUAGUGGAAAUAUUCAAUAUGAUGAGAAGAUUAGACUUGAAAGAUCAAAAGUAUUCUGUUUCUGCCAGUUUGAUGGUCGUUCUUUAAUCAAGUAGAUCGCGGAUGCAUUUAGUAUUAUUAGACUGAGCUCAAGAUAUCAAGAAAAUUAUCUUUCUACAAAUCAGACGAUGUUUCUUCAAUCAAGUAGAUCGCCGAGAUAUUCAAUAUGAUGAGAAUGGACUUGAUAGAUCAAAAGUAUUCUGUUUCUGACAGUAUGAUGAUGGUUCUUCAAUCAAGUAUAUCAUGGAAGUAUUCGAUAUGAUGAGACUGCACUCGAGGUAUCGAAAAAAUGGUGUUUCUGAACAUAAGAUGGUCGUUCUUAAAUCAAGUAGAUCGCGGAGGUAUUUAAUAUUAUGAGACUGAACUCAAGAUAUCAUGAAAAUGGCAACCCUGCAAAAUCCAUAUUUAAUGUGGCGAGAAGACUGGACUCGAUAGAUCAAAUAUGAUGGUACUGCUUCUAUAAAGUAGAUUGCGGAGGUAUUCGAUAUGAUGAGAAGAUUAGACUCGAGAGAUAAAAAGUAUUCUGUUUCUGCCCGUAUGAUGGUGGUUCUUCAAUCAAGUAGAUGAGGGAGGUAUUCGAUAUGAUGAGACUGCACUCGAGGUAUCGGGAAAAUUGUGUUUCUGAAAAAAGUAUAUCGCGGAGAUAUUUAAUAUUAUGAGACUGGACUAAAGAUAUAUAUAUGAUGAGAAGACUGCACUCAAGAUAUCAUAAAAAGUGCAAUUCUGCAAAUUCAAUAUUCAAUAUGAUGAGAAAACUGGAUUCGAAAGAUCAAAAGUAUUGUUUCUGACAGUAUGAUGGUGGUUCUUCAAUCAAGUAGCUCGCGGAGGCAUUUACUAUGAUGCGACUGGACUCAAGAUAUCAAGAAAAUUGUCUUUCUACAAAUCAGAUGGUGUUUCUUCAAUCAAGUAGACCGCCGAGAUAUUCAAUAUGAUUGGACUCGAAAGAUCAAAAGUAUUCUGUUUCUGACAAUAUGAUGGUGGUUCUUCAAUCAAGAAGAUCGCGGAGGCAUUUAAUAUUAUGAGACUGAACUCAAGAUAUCAUGAAAAUGGCAACCUUGCAAAAUCCAUAUUUAAUGUGUCGAGAAGACUGGACUCGAUAGAUCAAAUAUGAUGGUGUUUCUUCAAUCAAGUAGAUCGCGGAGGUAUUCGAUAUGAUGUGACUGCACUCGAGGUAUUAGGAAAAUUGUGUAUUUGCAAGUAUGAUGGAGUUUCUUUAAAUUAAGUAUAUAACGGAGGUGUUUAAUAUGAUGCGACUGGACUCAAGAUAUCAAGAAAAUUGUCUUUCUACAAAUCAGAUGGUGUUUCUUCAAUCAAGUAGAUCGCCGAGAUUUUCAAUAUGAUGAGAUUGGGCUCGAAAGAUCAAAAGUAUUCUGUUUCUGACAGUAUGAUGGUGGUUCUUCAAUCAAGAAAAUCGCGGAGGUAUUUAAUAAUGAGACUGAACUCAAGAUAUCAUGAAAAUGGCAACUCUGGAAAAUCCAUAUUUAAUGUGGCGAGAGGACUGAACUCGAUAGAUCAAAUAUGAUGGUGUUUCUUCAAUCAAGUAGAUCGCGGAGGUAUUCGAUAUGAUGAGACUGCACUCGAGGUAUCAGGAAAAUUGUGUAUUUGCAAGUAUGAUGGAGUUUCUUUGAUUAAGUAUAUAGCGGAGGUAUUCAAUAUGAUGAGAAGAUUAGAGGAGGUAUUCAUUAUGAUGAGAUUAGACUCGAGAGAUAAAAAGUAUUCUGUUUCUGCCAGUAUGAUGGUCGUUCUUCAAUCAAGUAGCUCGCGGAGGUAUUCGAUAUGAUGUGACUGCACUCGAGGUAUCAGGAAAAUUGUGUAUUUGCAAGUAUGACGGAGUUUCUUUAGGUAUAUAGCGGAGGUAUAUAAUAUGAUGCGACUGGACUCGAGAUAUCAAGAAAAUUGUGUUUCUGCAAAUUCAACAUGAGAUAUGAUGAGAACACUGGACUCGAUAGAUCGAAAGUAUUUUGUUUCUGACAGUAUGAUGGUGGUUCUUCAAUCAAGUAGUUCGCGGAGGUAUUCAAUAUUAUGAGAAGAUUAGUGGAAAUAUUCAAUAUGAUGAGAAGAUUGGACUCGAAAGAUCAAAAGUAUUCUGUUUCUGCCAGUUUGAUGAUCGUUCUUCAAUCAAUUAGCUCGCGGAGGCAUUUACUAUGAUGCGACUGGACUCAAGAUAUCAAGAAAAUUGUCUUUCUACAAAUCAGAUGGUGUUUCUUCAAUCAAGUAGAUCGCCGAGAUUUUCAAUAUGAUGAGAUUGGGCUCGAAAGAUCAAAAGUAUUCUGUUUCUGACAGUAUGAUGGUGGUUCUUCAAUCAAGAAAAUCGCGGAGGUAUUUAAUAAUGAGACUGAACUCAAGAUAUCAUGAAAAUGGCAACUCUGGAAAAUCCAUAUUUAAUGUGGCGAGAGGACUGAACUCGAUAGAUCAAAUAUGAUGGUGUUUCUUCAAUCAAGUAGAUCGCGGAGGUAUUCGAUAUGAUGAGACUGCACUCGAGGUAUCAGGAAAAUUGUGUAUUUGCAAGUAUGAUGGAGUUUCUUUGAUUAAGUAUAUAGCGGAGGUAUUCAAUAUGAUGAGAAGAUUAGAGGAGGUAUUCAUUAUGAUGAGAUUAGACUCGAGAGAUAAAAAGUAUUCUGUUUCUGCCAGUAUGAUGGUCGUUCUUCAAUCAAGUAGCUCGCGGAGGUAUUCGAUAUGAUGUGACUGCACUCGAGGUAUCAGGAAAAUUGUGUAUUUGCAAGUAUGACGGAGUUUCUUUAAUUAAGUAUAUAGCGGAGGUAUAUAAUAUGAUGCGACUGGACUCGAGAUAUCAAGAAAAUUGUGUUUCUGCAAAUUCAACAUGAGAUAUGAUGAGAACACUGGACUCGAUAGAUCGAAAGUAUUUUGUUUCUGACAGUAUGAUGGUGUUUCUUCAAUCAAGUAGAUCGCGGAGGUAUUCGAUAUGAUGAGACUGCUCUCGAGGUAUCAGGAAAAUUGUGUAUUUGCAAGUAUGAUGGAGUUUCUUUGAUUAAGUAUAUAGCGGUAUAUAGGUAUUCAAUAUGAUGAGAAGAUUAGAGGAGGUAUUCAUUAUGAUGAGAUUAGACUCGAGAGAUAAAAAGUAUUUUGUUUCUGACAGUAUGAUGGUAGUUCUUCAAUCAAGUAGUUCGCGGAGGUAUUCAAUAUUAUGAGAAGAUUAGUGGAAAUAUUCAAUAUGAUGAGAAGAUUGGACUCGAAAGAUCAAAAGUAUUCUGUUUCUGCCAGUUUGAUGAUCGUUCUUCAAUCAAUUAGCUCGCGGAGGCAUUUACUAUGAUGCGACUGGACUCAAGAUAUCAAGAAAAUUGUCUUUCUACAAAUCAGAUGGUGUUUCUUCAAUCAAGUAGAUCGCCGAGAUUUUCAAUAUGAUGAGAUUGGGCUCGAAAGAUCAAAAGUAUUCUGUUUCUGACAGUAUGAUGGUGGUUCUUCAAUCAAGAAAAUCGCGGAGGUAUUUAAUAAUGAGACUGAACUCAAGAUAUCAUGAAAAUGGCAACUCUGGAAAAUCCAUAUUUAAUGUGGCGAGAGGACUGAACUCGAUAGAUCAAAUAUGAUGGUGUUUCUUCAAUCAAGUAGAUCGCGGAGGUAUUCGAUAUGAUGAGACUGCACUCGAGGUAUCAGGAAAAUUGUGUAUUUGCAAGUAUGAUGGAGUUUCUUUGAUUAAGUAUAUAGCGGAGGUAUUCAAUAUGAUGAGAAGAUUAGAGGAGGUAUUCAUUAUGAUGAGAUUAGACUCGAGAGAUAAAAAGUAUUCUGUUUCUGCCAGUAUGAUGGUCGUUCUUCAAUCAAGUAGCUCGCGGAGGUAUUCGAUAUGAUGUGACUGCACUCGAGGUAUCAGGAAAAUUGUGUAUUUGCAAGUAUGACGGAGUUUCUUUAAGUAUAUAGCGGAGGUAUAUAAUAUGAUGCGACUGGACUCGAGAUAUCAAGAAAAUUGUGUUUCUGCAAAUUUAACAUGAGAUAUGAUGAGAACACUGGACUCGAUAUAUCGAAAGUAUUUUGUUUCUGACAGUAUGAUGGUGGUUCUUCAAUCAAGUAGUUCGCGGGGGUAUUCAAUAUUACGAGACUGGACUUAAGAUAUCAAUAUGAUGAGAGGACUGGACUUAAGAUGUCAUCAAAAUUGCAAUUCUGCAAAUUUAAUAUUCAACAUGAUGAGAGAAGAUUGGACUCGAAAGAUCAAAAGUAUUCUGUUUCUGACAGUAUGAUGGUGGUUCUUCAGUCAAGUAGUUCGCGGACAUUCAAUAUGAUUAGACUGAACCCGAGGCAUCAGGAAAAUUGUGUUUCUGCAAAUUCAACAUGAGAUAUGAUGAGAGGACUGGACUCGAUAGAUCAUAUUUGGUGGUGUUUCUUCAAUCAAGUAGAUCGCGGUACCUCCGCAAUAUGAUGAGAAGAUUGGACUCAAGAUGUCAUCAAAAUUGCAACUCUGCAAAUUCAAUAUUUAAUAUGAUGAGAAGAUUGGACUCGGAAGAUCAAAAGUAUUUUAUGUCUGCUUGUUUUAUGGUCUUUCUUCAUUCAAUUAGAUCGUGGAGGUAUUUAGUAUUAUGAAACUGAACUCAAGAUAUCAUAAAAAUGGCAACUUUGCAAAAUCCAUAUUUAAUGUGGCGAGAAGACUGGACUCGAAAGAUCAAAAGUAUUCUGUGUCUGACAGUAUGAUGGUGAUUCUUCACUCAAGUAUAUCGCGGGGGCAUUCAAUAUAAGACUGGACUAGAGAGAUCAAGAUAAUACUUAGAAAAUUGUGUUUCUGCAAAUUUGAUGGUGUUUCUUCAUUCAAGUAGCUCGGAGAGUGGACUUGUAUUCAAAAAGAGGACAUUGGACUCUAGAGAUCAAAAGUAUUUCUGCAAGUAUAAUGGAAUUUCUACCACUACUAGAUCACGGGGGCAUUCGAUAUGAUGAGACUGGCGUUCAAAAUGAUGAGACUGGACUCGAAAGACCAAAGGUAUUCUGUUUCUGCAAGUAUGAUGGAGUUUCUUCAAUUAAGUUGAGCGGCGAGGCAUGGGACUGGGCUCGAGAGAUCAUGAAUAUUCUAUUGCUGCAAUAAUGACUAUGAUGGAGUUUUCUCGAUCAAUGUUAGAGCGUUAAAAUGAAAAACACUCCACAUUUGCCGAAUUCAAGAUCUUAACUGAACUCU